CCCCACUCCACAAUUUUCCCCCUUAAUUCUUACACCCAGUUCCCUCCACACUCAUUUUCCAGUUUCCCACGCUUCCCACCCCCAACCACUCCGUUCAUUGAUCCCGCAUUCCCCUAAUUCCUACUUCCGCGCCCUUUGUUCCGCGCCAUUAAUCCUCACCUGGGCUUAUUGGAUUGGUCGAUUUCUGCUCGCCUUACAUCGUUGAGCUUCGGGUUUCCGAACGUCGACCGGGUUCCGGAGAUGUCCGUGUUUCAAAUUUGCUUCCUCCUCGUGAAAAGAAGAUGGCGGUAAAAUUGAUCGUAUCGAAAAUGGUGUAUCAUGAUCAAUCCUACCUUUAUUUGAAGGUAAGAUGCUUUAUUUAAUAUCAGUAUUUGUAGUAGAAUGCUUAAAUUGCUAAUAGAGAUGAAUUUUGUAGAGAUCGAGCCCGAAUUUAGUGCGAUAUUUCUGCUUAAAAUUUGUACUUUGCGAAGCUGUUCUUCGCGAUUCUUCUAUAAUUAUGCAUAUAUCAAAUCGCUUUAAUCUUCACUAAUAAAUAUCCUUGUAAAUCCGGUAAAGCUAGAAUGUUAGAAAUGUUCAUUUUUGGGUAUUUUGAGCCACCCAGACUACAUCUUUUGCAGCAAAAAUCAUGCAUACCAGUUUUCUGCGUUAACCAAUCGUUAACUAGACAAUUUUUCUCAAACAUAAAUAUACACAUCGCAUGCAACAAUUGUUUUUUAAAUGUAAUAGCCCUAUCUGACCCUCACUUUACCUAACUACCACAUUCUCACGAAAUGUUAUUAAAAUUUGACAGAUGUUGUGCAUUGCAAGUUCCAAGAAUGUUCCACUUGAAGAGUUGUUGAUUACGAAAAGUGAAUUCAUUUCAGAAGUACAAAUGAAAGGUAUACAGUUUUUCAUAUCUAAUUUGGCCCCUCCAUAUCAAUAAAGACACAGUUCAGUUUUUGAACACUUGGCGUACAUGUAUCUGCAAGAACGUCGCCAUAUUUGUUUUCCUGGGCCUGUUCACAGGCAUACAGUCCUAAUUAGUCAACCGGGCCUCAACCCAACUCAAUAGCAUAGUAUUUAGUGUUGUGUGCACAUUAAUAACUCAGGUCGACUUAUUAGGGCUCUAUGCCUGCGAACAGGCAAUCAUUUCUCACAGAUACAUAUAUGCCAAGCAUACCUAUUUUUUAAUCAAGACAAUGGAGUAAGGUUGCAUGAUUUAUAAAACUCUUAAUUGAAAAGGCAAUGAAUCUUUCAAAAUUGCUUCCAUGUGCAUGCCCACAUUAAAUCAAAACCCAUCAUUCAUUAAUUUCAUGUCUCAAUAUUUUUUUUCAAUUCUCCUAGAUAUAUGUUGGAUGGAUAUUGACUGAAGUUGUAUGGAUCAUGAAAGUAAUGUAUAUGAAAGGUCUUUACAUUUUAAUAUCUUAUUUAAGUAUGAAAUGCUUUGAACAUUAUAUGUUUGCCCGUGGUCUGAGUGGCUUUGUUUAUUGUUACGUUUCUUCUAAAAUCCUGGCAGAAUAUUGCAAAAAUAUUAUAAUUGCUAUCUUAGUCAUUCCUGACACACACAAAAAAUAAUAGAAACAUGAAAUAUUUUUUGUCACUCUUUCAGCCAGUAUAAGUUUGGGAAUUGCAGUUUCAUUGUUGCUGGAAUGGUUGAUUAAUUAAUUAAGUUUUGUUUGCCACUCAUCAUGGAAUGCCGCAAAUUUUCAAAGCAUUUCUGUUUCAGGAAAAGCCAAAAAAUGAUAAAUUGUUUGUCUUUUAAAAAGUUGAGAAAUUGCCUAUAAGAUGUGAAUCAGUAUGGAAUAUAUUUCUGUUUCCUGUUUGGAUCAACAGUUAAUAAAACACAAGAAAAUAUCUAUCUGAUAUUACAAUGUUUUUACAUUAAUUUAGAAAGAUUUUGUUUGUAUUGCAAUUUAUUGCAAAAAGUAAAACAAUUUGUCAUUAUUUGGCCUGAAGUAUAACAUCAAUUAAACAAUGAGAAAAUUGAGAUGGUUUUAUUUGAAAGCAAAAAUUUUCCUUUAGAUAUAUAAAGGCAUGUGGCUUCAGAUUUAAAAAAAUAAUUUGGCCAUUAAAUCGAGG
rnacentral:lncRNA from 1 species